GACUCUUCGCUGUCGGUGCGGCUCUCGCUGCGACCAUCCAGCCAUCCGUCCGUCCGUCCGUCAGUCCGUCUGUUCCGGGCGGCGGGCUUCAGGAGGCGUCCCUGGAUAUCCACCCACUUUCGGAGAUCUUUGUCCAGGUGCAAGCACUGAAGCAAAGGAUACCAAGUCCCAGGUCCCAGCCUGUCUCAAGCUCACCCGUGGUCCUACUUCCCACCACCUCCCUGCCUACCCAGCAAGGAUUCUCAGGAGUCUGCUUAUCCACAUCCACCCCAAGACUGAAGCCACUGUCACCUUGAUGGGGACUUGGCCCAGGCAGUACUGGCGUUGGGCUUGUGCACCCUGUGAAGUGAAUCAUGGAGGGACCCCCAGGUACCUAGGAGGGUCUCUCUCCUCUACAAGUAUUCUUGUGUAGAAGAAAGGGAAAUAAAUUAAAACAAAGGUUUUAUUU
ensembl:lncRNA